rnacentral:rRNA from 1 species
CUGCGGAGGGAUCAUUACGAAAAGGAGUAUUCGUACUCUUGAACCCUUUGUGAACUUACCCUAUUGUCAGUUGCUUCGGCGGGAGGCCCCUGGGAGGGGCCCCGGGGCCCGGUCCUGAGCCGGGCUCUCGCCGGAGGAGCGCAAACCUAAACUCUUUGUUGUACCAUCAGUGGGAACUCCGAGUAAAAAAAAUAAUAACAAGUUAAAACUUUCAACAACGGAUCUCUUGGUUCUGGCAUCGAUGAAGAACGCAGCGAAAUGCGGUAAGUAAUGUGAAUUGCAGAAUUCAGUGAAUCAUCGAAUCUUUGAACGCACAUUGCGCCCGCCAGCAUUCUGGCGGGCAUGCCUGUUCGAGCGUCAUUUCAACCCCUCAGGCCCUGGUGCCUGGCUUCGGGGCUCUCCCGGAAGGGAGUCCCCUAGAGACAGUGGCGGACCCGCCGCGGCUCCGAGCGCAGUAGUAAUAUUCUCGCUUAGGAGGCCCGCGGAGGUGAUCUCUGGCCGUAAAAACUCUUUUCCACAAGGUUGACCUCGGAUCAGGUAGGAAUACCCGCUGAACUUAAGCAUA